rnacentral:rRNA from 1 species
CUGAGAGGAUGACCAGUCACACUGGAACUGAGACACGGUCAAGACUCCUACGGGAGGCAGCAGUGGGGAAUAUUGCACAAUGGGCGCAAGCCUGAUGCAGCCAUGCCGCGUGUGUGAAGAAGGCCUUCGGGUUGUAAAGCACUUUCAGCGGGGAGGAAGGCGGUGAGGUUAAUAACCUUGGCGAUUGACGUACCCGCAGAAGAAGC